GGCUCGAAUGGUUAGUGCAACUGUGAGAAAUCACGGUUCCUUCGGGACGCUAAUCAAGGUGCUGCAUGGUUGUCGUCAGCUCGUGCCGUGAGGUGUUGGGUUAAGUCCCGCAACGAGCGCAACCCCUGGGUUUAGUUACCAGCACGUAGAGGUGGGGACUCUAGACCGACUGCCGGCGUAAGCCGCGAGGAAGGUGGGGAUGACGUCAAAUCAUCAUGGCCUUUAUGUCCAGGGCUACACACGUGCUACAAUGGUCAGUACAGAGGGUAGCGAAGCCGCGAGGUGGAGCCAAUCUUUAAAAGCUGAUCGUAGUUCGGAUUGGAGUCUGCAACUCGACUCCAUGAAGUUGGAAUCGCUAGUAAUCGCGCAUCAGCCAUGGCGCGGUGAAUACGUUCCCGGACNUUGUACACACCGCCCGUCAAGCCAUGGGAGCUGAGGGUACCUGAAGAUGGUGACUUUACGGGAGCUAUCUAAGGUAAA
rnacentral:rRNA from 1 species